CCCCUAGAUGUUCUGGGCCGCACGCGCGCUACACUGAACAGUUCAACAAGUCUUAACCUUGGCCGAUAGGUCUGGGUAAUCUUUGAACGCUGUUCGUGAUUGGGAUAGACCUUUGCAAUUAUGGGUCUUCAACGAGGAAUUCCUAGUAAACGCAAGUCAUCAGCUUGCGUUGAUUACGUCCCUGCCCUUUGUACACACCGCCCGUCGCACCUACCGAUUGAAUGGUCCGGUGAAGCCUCCGGAUUGGCGCGCACCUCGGUGCCGCCGAGAAGUUGGCUAAACCUUACCAUUUAGAGGAAGGUGAAGUCGUAACA
rnacentral:rRNA from 1 species